AAAAUACAAAACUUAGCCAGGCGUGGUGGUGCACGCAUGUAAUCCCAACUACUUGGGAGGCUGAGGCACGAGAAUCGCUUGAACCUGGGAGGCAGAGGUUGCAGUGAGCCGAGAUCGCACCACUGCACUCCAGCCUGGGUGACAGAGUGAGACACUGACUCACGGAAAAAAAAAAAAAAAUCUCACUCUGACAUCCCACCAGAGGUCUUGCCAGCCUACAGGUCCAUUUCCCUUCUUGGUCUUACGUCUCAGGGUCUAAGAGACAGGUAAAUAAAUCAUUAAAAAAUGAUGUAUCUGAUAGUUCAGGGGCCACAGUAAGAUAAUUUUUCAGGCUGAGCAUGGUGGCUCAUGCCUGUAAUCCAGCAUUUUGGAAGGCCAAGAUGAGGAUCACUUGAGGCCAGGAGUUUGAGACCAGCCUGGGCAACAUGGCAAGACCCCCAUCUCUAUGAAAAAUAGAGAUAAGAAGAAGAAAUAAGUGGGCAACAUGGCAAGACCCCCACCUCUAUGAAAAAUAGAGAUAAAAAGAAGAAAUAAAAAAGUGUGUCCCUUUCCCACUGAGCAAAAGCAUCCUCCUGAGGACCCCAGGUGUGUUUUGAGUGUCAAUUCUGGCCGGGUGCUGUGGUGUGGCCGUGAUCGACAACACAGUCCUUGUCCACAAGGAAGUUAAAAUCUUAAGGAAAGCGAGACUGUUGUGGUCCAGCUGAACAUGCCUGUGCAUUGAGACCUAAAGCUCAUAGAGAUGCUCAUUCUAGGGGACCAUCACAGUUUGGCCCCUGCCACCCUCCAACAUCACCAAAACCACUGUUGUUGCAAUUGGGGAACACUCUGACAACUAUUGGACAGAUACCACAUGCCAAGACCCAGAAGAGACAAAUGCAUGUUUUUAGCUAUGUUGUGUAUUCUCAAAGAGCUUACAACCUGAUCAGGAGACGAGAAGUAUUCCAAGUAGUAAAUGGUCAUUGGAAAUACAAA
rnacentral:sRNA from 1 species